rnacentral:lncRNA from 10 species
GUCUCUAACUCCACAAAUUUCAACAUGCAUACAAAUCAAGAAGGGGUGGGGGUGUUACAUGCAAAUUCUGCUUCAGUGGGUGUUGGAGCCUGAGAUUCUGGCUUUCUAACAAGCUCCCAGGUAAGUGCUGAUGCUGCUGCUUUGAGGGCCACACACCUUGAGGAGUAGGAAGAGUACUCAUACUGGAAGAGUAUUCAGCACGGACUGGAAUCCUGCAUACAUAUCUGAGCUCUGUGUUCUGUAGAGAUGGGGUUUCACCAUGUUGCCCAGGCUGGUCUCAAACUCCUGAGCUCAGGCCAUCUGCCCGCCUCGGCCUCCCAAAGUGCUAGGAUUACAGGUGAGUGCCCGGCCUCUUAUCUUGAAUUGUAAUUCCCGGGUGUUGAGGGAGAGACCUGGUGGGAGGUGAUUGGAUCAUGGGGGAGGUUCCCCCAUGCUGUUCUUAUGACAAUGAGUGAGUUCUCAUAGAUCUGAUGGUUUUAUAAGGAGCUCUUCCCACUUUGCUUCUCUCUCCCUCCCUCCUGCUGCCUUGUGAAGAAGGUGCCUGCUUCCCCUUCACCUUCCACCAUGAUUGUAAGUUUCCUGAGGCCUCCCCAGACAUGUGGAACUGUGAGUCAAUUAAAUCUCUUUUCUUUAUAAAUUACCCAGUCUCAGGUAGUAUCUUUAUAGCGGUAUAAAAACAGACUAAUACAAACAGGUAGCUCUAAAUUGUGAGUUUUUCUUAACUCCUUUGAUCUUCUGUGAUAGCGAUUUUUCACAUUUCACACUUCCCUAAUGCCAAAAAUCCACCUCCAGCAGCUGUUUUGCCUCUUUCUUAUCCUGCCCCUUGGAAGAAUGUCAUCAUUAUUGCUGCCACAGCACUGUGUUCUUUUUCAGAAGUUACAGCAAGAAUUGGUUGGCUUUCUUUCUUUUUUUUUUUUUUUCUCAGACAGAAUCUGGUUCUGUCGCCCAGGCUGAUGUGCAGUGGUGGGAUCUUGGCUCACUGCAACCUCUGCCUCCCGGGUUCAAGCAAUUCUCUCGCCUCAGUCUCUCGAGUAGCUGGGAUUACAGGCACAAGCCACCAUGCCCGGCUAAUUUUUGUAUUUUCAGUAGAGAUGGGGUUUCACCAUGUUGGCCAGGAUGGUCUCGAUCUCCUGACCUCGUGCUCCACUUGCCUUAGCCUCCCAAAGUGCUGAGAUUACAGGUGUGAGCCACCGCGUCUGGCCAGAUCUGCUUUCAAAUAAAUGAAAAGAAGACCAGGGUUAGAACUGGUGGGAAAAUGUGAAUAUUAGAAUUCUUUUAAAGAAAUAUAGUUUUACCACAUAAUCUAAGGUCGUGUGAUUAAGUACAAGGCAUUGUUCUAAAAGGCUUGAGGAAAAGUUGUUUCUCCUAAGAGGUUAAACAAGCUCAUAACCCUACCUCUCCUCACUUGCAGGCACAACCACUUCCUGUGUUUUUUUCAUGUGGA